AUUGAACGCUGGCGGCAGGCUUAACACAUGCAAGUCGAGCGGUAGCACAGGGGAGCUUGCUCCCUGGGUGACGAGCGGCGGACGGGUGAGUAAUGUCUGGGAAACUGCCUGAUGGAGGGGGAUAACUACUGGAAACGGUAGCUAAUACCGCAUAACGUCGCAAGACCAAAGAGGGGGACCUUCGGGCCUCUUGCCAUCAGAUGUGCCCAGAUGGGAUUAGCUAGUAGGUGGGGUAAUGGCUCACCUAGGCGACGAUCCCGAGCUGGUCUGAGAGGAUGACCAGCCACCCGGGAACUGGGCCACGGUCCAGACUCCUACGGGAGGCCGCAGUGGGGAAUAUGGCACAGUGGGCGCGAGCCUGAUGCAGCCAGGCCGCGUGUGUGAAGAAGGCCUUCGGGUUGUAAAGCACUUUCAGCGAGGAGGAAGGUGGUGAGCUUAAUACGUUCAUCAAUUGACGUUACUCGCAGAAGAAGCACCGGCUAACUCCGUG
rnacentral:rRNA from 1 species